ACUGACUGCUAUCGGAUUGAUACUAAGCCAUGCGAGUCAUUGUAGUAAUACAAGGCAGACGGCUCAGUAACGCGUAGUCAACCUAACCUAUGGACGGGGAUAACCUCGGGAAACUGAGUAUAAUGCCCGAUAGAACAUUAUGCCUGGAAUGGUUUAUGUUCCAAAUGAUUUAUCGCCGUAGGAUGGGACUGCGGCCUAUCAGUUUGUUGGUGAGGUAAUGGCCCACCAAGACUAUUACAGGUACGGGCUCUGAGAGGAGUGGCCCGGAGAUGGGUACUGAGACACGGACCCAGGCCCUAUGGGGCGCAGCAGGCGAGAAAACUUUGCAAUGUGCGAAAGCACGACAAGGUUAAUCCGAGUGGUUUCUGCUAAAGGAACCUUUUGUCAGUCCUAGAAACACUGAUGAAUAAGGGGUGGGCAAGUUCUGGUGUCAAGCCGCCGCGGUAAAACCAGCACCUCAAGUGGUCAGGAUGAUUAUUGGGCCUAAAGCAUCCGUAGCCGGCUCUGUUAGUUUCGGUUAAAUCUGUACGCUCAACGUACAGGCUGCCGGGAAUACUGCAGAGCUAGGGAGUGGGAGAGGUAGACGGUACUCGGUAGGAAGGGGUAAAAUCCUUUGAUCUAUUGAUGACCACCUUGUGGCGAAGGCGGUCUACCAGAAACACGUCCAACGGUGAGGGAUGAAAAGCUGGGGGGAGC
rnacentral:rRNA from 1 species